rnacentral:rRNA from 1 species
GAUGAACGCUAGCGGCAGGCUUAAUACAUGCAGGUCGUGGGGCAGCAGGACUGUAGCAAUACCGUUGCUGGCGACCGGCACACGGGUGCGGAACACGUACGCAACUUACCCUUAACUUGGGGAUAGCCCGGGGAAACCCGGCUUAAUACCCCGUAAUAUCCUGGAGUGGCAUCCCUUUAUUCUUAAAGCUCCGGCCGUUCGGGUUGGGCGUGCGACUGAUUAGGUAGUUGGUUGAGGUAACGGCUCACCAACCCUACGAUCAGUAACUGGUUGGAGAGCACGACAAGUCAGAAGGGAAAUGAGACACGGACCCGACUGCGACGGGAGGCAGGAGUAAGGAAUAUUAGGCGAUGGAGGCAAAUCUGACCCAGCCAUGCCGGGGGGAGGAGGAAGGGCGUCUGGGAUGUAAACUUCUUUGAUAGAGGACGAAAACGGUGUAUUCUUGCGGAGUUGACGGUACCCUAGGAAUAAGCACCGGCUAACUCCGUG